rnacentral:rRNA from 1 species
UACAGAGGGUGCGAGCGUUAAUCGGAAUUACUGGGCGUAAAGCGCGCGUAGGCGGCUGUCUAAGUCGGGUGUGAAAGCCCCGGGCUCAACCUGGGAACUGCAUUCGAUACUGGACGGCUAGAGUAUGAGAGAGGGAGGUAGAAUUCCACGUGUAGCGGUGAAAUGCGUAGAUAUGUGGAGGAAUACCGGUGGCGAAAGCGGCACACUGGGGGAUAACUGACGCUGAGGCACGAAAGCCAGGGGAGCGAACGGG